UCUAAAAUUCUUGGCAUAACUACCUGCUACAUGAUAUUAGAAUUCAUCUCAGUGAAUGUGUAGGUCCAAGUGAUCUAGACUACUUUCUCUGUCCAGAUCAGGAACUCCAGGGCCUGUGGCUACAUUCCUUCCUACCUUCAGGCCUACAAAGAAUAGAAGGACUUUUGAGACAGACUUUACUGAAAAGGAGAUUGAAUGAUGUCAAGAAAUCUACCUACUACUUUCACUAUGAAGAGGCCUAGAAAUAUGUUGAAUUUACAAAAAGCUAUGAAGAUGUCAGUUUAAUCCUUUCUUUGAUAAUUUAAUCUGUAUUAUAUGUGAAUUAUUAUAAGAUUAACAUAAUUCUGUGA